GACGAACGCUGGCGGCGUGCUUAACACAUGCAAGUCGAACGCUGAACCCGCUUCGGUGGGGGAUGAGUGGCGAACGAGUGAGUAACACGCGGGCAACCUGCCCCCGGCUCUGGGAUAAAUCCAUUAAGUUAGGGCUAAUACCGAAUGUGACCGCUGGCCGCAUGGUCUGGUGGUGGAAAGGGUUUCCGGCUGGGGAUGGGCCCGCGGCCUAUCAGCUUGUUGGUGGGGUAGUGGCCUACCAAGGCGACGACGGGUAGCCGGCCUGAGAGGGUGACCGGCCACACUGGGACUGAGACACGGCCCAGACUCCUACGGGAGGCAGCAGUGGGGAAUAUUGCGCAAUGGGCGGAAGCCUGACGCAGCGACGCCGCGUGGGGGAUGACGGCCUUCGGGUUGUAAACCUCUUUCAGCAGGGACGAAGCGUAAGUGACGGUACCUGGUGAAGAAGCACCGGCUAACUACGUG
rnacentral:rRNA from 1 species